CGGGGUGGGGCAGCUAGGAGUGCCCGCCGGGCUCAUAACCCGGAGGUCGGAGGUUCAAAUCCUCCCCCCGCUACCAAU
rnacentral:tRNA from 1 species